rnacentral:tRNA from 1 species
GCGUGGUAGCUCAGUGGUAGAGCACUCGCCUGGCACACGUGAGGCCCUGGGUUUGAUCCUCGGCACCACACA